CUUUUAUCACAAUUUUUUUUUCAGAGAUUAACAAUAUAUCAAUGCAAAAUUGGACAUUCCGUUUUCAUGCAAAUUUUGAUUAUAAAAUAUUAGCCGUAUCGCCGUAAUGAGAAUACAAAAGGACGACGAGGGAUAGCACUGGUCAUAAUUUAUCGUUGGCAUUUCUCAUUGUCGUCUGUCUCUGUUCCACGCUUUGAAAAAUAAGGAAAGCGCGCGACACGCGUUCGAAAGUUGAAAAGAUAUAAAUUAGUAUAAUUUCGCGCCUCGAAUUUUUCUUACUUUACAAAAUAUAUAACAUUUAAAGUCUUUUGUUACUUUUUUUCGAUUAUCACGAAGAUAUUUCACUAUGUUUAAUCACACAGCUAAAUAAAUAUAAUGAUCCCAGAAGCUUUUAAACGCAUCAAGGUUGAUCUUCUUUCAUGCCCUUCAUACGUAAUGUAAAACGGUGUUUAAUUUGAAAAUUUCGUGCAACGAAUUUUUUUUUUUUAUAAAUUUAAAUGGUUUAAAAUAUUUUAAAUGGAAAAAGGAAUGGACGUGGUAUUUGUUUACAGAGAAAACGAAAUGUGCGAAUGUGUCUGCAAAAGUCUAAGUUUUUAAAUAUUCAUAUACGAAAUAAACCGGCUUAUCAUUCUUCUACAGCUUUUUUUUUAUUAUUUUUACACUCGUUCCAAUUUAAACUCAUUUUUCUUCUCCAAGGUCACUUCAAGGGCACAACAUUUUUGAACCCAAGUCUUUUACAUUGACUGCGCAACGUUACGUUGCAAAAAGCAGAUGUUAACACGUGUAAAAGAGAGAAAAAAAAAAAAAAAAAAAAAAAAAAAAAUCGAUUAUUUUGGAAUGACCUUUAAAAAACAUCCUUGAAGAGAUUUUUUUUUUUUUUUUCUCCUUCGAUCGCCAUCAGAUGCGCUCCUUGAAACCAUUAAAAAUCCUUCUUAUUUUCUCACCUUUUAAUCAAGCAACGGAAAUAGUUUCGAUUUAACUGAGACACCUUAUAUAGCCUCAUUAAUCUUUCAGAAUAAGAUCAUAUAUCUAUCUGUAUGAUAUAUAUAUAUAUAUAUAUAUAGUGAUAGAAAGAAAAGAAAAGAAAAAAAAAAAAAUAAAAAGAAAAAUAAUAACAACCGUGUACACUUUGUAAAAAUUACCUUGAAACGUAUCAUCACGCCAAUCUUGAAAGAGUUAAAACCCGUAUAAGACAUGGCAUAUAUAUAUAUAUAUAUCUAUAUGUAUAAGUAAUCGUGUAUCAAACAAAAUGAGAAUAUACAGAUAUACGUGUAUGGAGAAACGUAUAAUUACCAUGUCCCAUAAAACGUAUAGGGAAGGCUAAUUUUUAAUUAACCACGUCACUGACCUCAGAAAUAUCUAAUCUCUUCCAUAAAAACGAUUGUGUAAUCGUGAAAACAUGGCUCGUUUUUUCUUUCUUUUUUUUUUUUUUUUUCCUCUGCUAGAAAUUUUGAUAAUUCAUUUCAUUUAAUUCAAUAAUGACUAUUAUACCGAUAAGAAUCAGAUAUACAUAAAAUGAGGCACAAAAGAUUAGAGAUACGACUGAGUUAUCAAGACAUAUAAGCACACUAUGAUAUUUAUCUUUAUAUGUAUAUAAUAUAUAUGUAUACAUUGUCACCCUGGUUUUCCCCUAAUGAUUAUCUGGAUAAAUUACAACAUAUUUUCUAAUUUCGUAACUAGAAAUAUCGUUGGAAAGGCCCGAUUAAAUUAAAUGAUUUAUCAAUAUUAUUUUAUUCCUUAUGAAUAUAAUUUGUCUUCGCAUAAUCGCAAAUUUUUUACACGGAUUUCCUCUUGGGAAAAUAUGAAAAAUCUACGUAAUGGGAAUAUACGUGUACAAUCCGUGUAAAAAUGAUAAUUACACGUUGCGACAGCAAAGUGUCAGAAAUUCGUCGAGACGCGGUACAAGAAUUGUCUAAAAAUUUUAUUAUCAAUCUUCCAAUCGCGUUAUUUUGAAUAUUUAUCUCGUUCUCUCAUUGUAAAUUUAUUUCCAUCUCGCGAUAACUUGGCGAGAUUUUAUUGCAAAAGAGAGAUUGGAUCUGGACUAAAAAAGAUUUUUAUAUAUGAAAAAUUUUAAUAAAAAAGUUGGGGGAAAAAGUUUGGCGAUCUGACAACUGCAAUUUCACGAGCAAGAUGACGGUUUCCUUCCUCGAAAGAACGCACGACGAUUGAACAAUAUGUCCUUCGAAAUAUUUCUAGGUUAGAUAUUUCAAGGAGAGAGAGA
rnacentral:lncRNA from 1 species